CACGUAGGCGGAUCAGAAAGUCAGAGGUGAAAUCCCAGGGCUCAACCUUGGAACUGCCUUUGAAACUCCUGAUCUUGAGGUCGAGAGAGGUGAGUGGAAUUCCGAGUGUAGAGGUGAAAUUCGUAGAUAUUAGGAGGAACACCGGUGGCGAAGGCGGCUUGCUGGACAGAUACUGACGCUGAGGUGCGAAAGCGUGGGGAGCAAACA
rnacentral:rRNA from 1 species